rnacentral:rRNA from 1 species
UAGAGUUUGAUCCUGGCUCAGGAUGAACGCUAGCGGCAGGCUUAACACAUGCAAGUCGAGGGGUAUAGUAGCAAUACUAGAGACCGGCGCACGGGUGCGUAACGCGUAUGCAAUCUACCUUUUACAGAGGGAUAGCCCAGAGAAAUUUGGAUUAAUACCUCAUAGCAUAGCAGCUUCGCAUGAAGCCACUAUUAAAGUCACAACGGUAAAAGAUGAGCAUGCGUCCCAUUAGCUAGUUGGUAAGGUAACGGCUUACCAAGGCAACGAUGGGUAGGGGUCCUGAGAGGGAGAUCCCCCACACUGGUACUGAGACACGGACCAGACUCCUACGGGAGGCAGCAGUGAGGAAUAUUGGACAAUGGGCGCAAGCCUGAUCCAGCCAUGCCGCGUGCAGGAUGACGGUCCUAUGGAUUGUAAACUGCUUUUGCACAGGAAGAAACAACAUUACGUGUAAUGUCUUGACGGUACUGUGAGAAUAAGGAUCGGCUAACUCCGUGCCAGCAGCCGCGGUAAUACGGAGGAUCCAAGCGUUAUCCGGAAUCAUUGGGUUUAAAGGGUCCGUAGGCGGUUUAGUAAGUCAGUGGUGAAAGCCCAUCGCUCAACGGUGGAACGGCCAUUGAUACUGCUAGACUUGAAUUAUUAGGAAGUAACUAGAAUAUGUAGUGUAGCGGUGAAAUGCUUAGAGAUUACAUGGAAUACCAAUUGCGAAGGCAGGUUACUACUAAUGGAUUGACGCUGAUGGACGAAAGCGUGGGUAGCGAACAGGAUUAGAUACCCUGGUAG